GAUGAACGCUAGCGGCAGGCUUAAUACAUGCAAGUCGAGGGGCAGCAGGACUGUAGCAAUACAGUUGCUGGCGACCGGCAAACGGGUGCGGAACACGUACGCAAUCUACCCAAAACUGGUGAAUAGCCCUCCGAAAGGAGGAUUAAUACACCGUAACUUAAUGAAGUGGCAUCGCUUUAUUAAUAUAGCUCCGGCGGUUUUGGAUGAGCGUGCGCCUGAUUAGGAGUUGGCGGGGUAAUGGCCCACCAAGCCUGCGAUCAGUAACUGGUGUGAGAGCACGACCAGUCACACGGGCACUGAGACACGGGCCCGACUCCUACGGGAGGCAGCAGUAAGGAAUAUUGGUCAAUGGGCGCAAGCCUGAACCAGCCAUGCCGCGUGCAGGAAGACGG
rnacentral:rRNA from 1 species